rnacentral:rRNA from 1 species
CCUACGGGAGGCAGCAGUAGGGAAUUUUCGGCAAUGGGGGGAACCCUGACCGAGCAACGCCGCGUGAGGGAGGAAGUAUUUCGGUAUGUAAACCUCUGUUAUAAAGGAAGAACGGUGCAUGUAGGGAAUGACAUGCAAGUGACGGUACUUUAUGAGGAAGCCACGGCUAACUACGUGCCAGCAGCCGCGGUAAUACGUAGGUGGCGAGCGUUAUCCGGAAUUAUUGGGCGUAAAGAGUUGCGUAGGUGGCAUAAUAAGUAGCUAGUGAAAUCUGGUGGCUCAACCAUUCAGACUAUUAGCUAAACUGUUAAGCUCGAGACCGUUAGGGGUAACUGGAAUUUCUAGUGUAGGAGUGAAAUCCGUAGAUAUUAGAAGGAACACCAAUAGCGUAGGCAGGUUACUGGGACGGUUCUGACACUAAGGCACGAAAGCGUAGGGAGCAAACGGGAUUAGAUACCCCAGUAGUC